rnacentral:lncRNA from 1 species
GAGAGUUGGAGUCCACAGCGGCAGAGUGAAGACACAGCAGCAGAGGUUGAGAGUUCACAUCUCAAACAGUAGGCAGGAGGCGGAGAGCACAGUGGGAACAGGCAAACGUCUUCUGAAACCUCAAAGCUGCCCGCAGUGACAGGCCUGCUUCAACAAGGCCACAUGUUCUGAUCUUUCCCAAAGGAUCCCACCAACUGAGGAC